rnacentral:rRNA from 1 species
AGCAGCCGCGGUAAUUCCAGCUCCAAUAGCGUAUAUUAAAGUUGCUGCAGUUAAAAAGCUCGUAGUUGAAUUUCGGGAUCAUCAUGUCGGUCGUGCCUCGGUACGUACUGGCAUUGUUGGUUUCUACCUUCUGACGAACCAUGAUGUCAUUUAUUUGGUGUCGUGGGAAAUCAGGACUGUUACUUUGAAAAAAUUAGAGUGUUUAAAGCAGGCUCACGCUUGAAUACAUUAGCAUGGAAUAAUGAAAUAGGACGUUUGAUUCUAUUUUGUUGGUUUCUAGGAUCGACGUAAUGAUUAAUAGGGAUAGUUGGGGGCAUUAGUAUUCAAUUGUCAGAGGUGAAAUUCUUGGAUUUAUUGAAGACUAACUACUGCGAAAGCAUUUGCCAAGGAUGUUUUCAUUAAUCAAGAACGAAAGUUAGGGGAUCGAAGACGAUCAGAUACCGUCGUAGU